CAUAGGAAUGUAAAAUACUACAGAUACUAUGGCAAACAGUAUGGUGGUCCCUCAAAAAAUUAAAAAUAGAAUUGUCCAUGUGAUCUAGCAGUUCCACUUAUGGGUACAUACUCAACGAAACUGAAAGCAUGGGCUUAGGAAAUAUUUGCACACCCACGUUCAUAGCGGCAUUAUUCACAAGAGCCAAAAGGUGGAAGCAACCCAGAUGUGUAUCGAAGGACGAACGGAUAAAGCAAAGGUACUGUGAUUCUAACCAUGAAAAUUACCAUUUGUAUAUCAUCCCAGAAUGCUAUAAAUACACAUAAAUACCGGUAUCUUUUUUUCUCUGCCUGUACUCAAAUAAAUAAAUCAUACCCAUAUAUUUUGCAAACAUGGGACUGUACUAUGCACAAUGUUCUGCACUUUUUUUUGCCAUAAUCAUAGAUCAUGUUCAUCCUUCCAUGUCAUUAUCCGGAAAAACAAGACUUGGCAUGCUACUUUUAAGGGUGUUGUAAUAUUCUGUAGCAGGACUCGGCCAACUUUCUUAAAGGGCCAGAAAGUAAGUAUUUAGGCUUUGUAGGUCCAAAUGAUUUCUGUGACAACCACUCACCUCUGCUGUCAUCCUGCCAAAGUAGUCACAGGCAAUACAGAAACAAAUGGGUGUGGUUUUGUGCCAAUAAAACUUUAUUUACAAAAACCGGCCCUUGUUCUACAACACGAAUGUUUUUUAGUAUUUAUUUACUUAGUCCCCUGCAGAUGGACAGUUGGGUUUUUUCCCCUCUCCCCGUUCAAGGAAUGCUGCAGCAAUCAUGUGCAGAGAUCCCAGGGAUGGCAGAGGCACAAGGUGAGGGAGCUAUCUCUGAAUCAUCGGUCAUCAAGCCAGAGUGCCCAUUUUACAGACGUGGAAACUGAGGUCCAGAGACAGCUACAUAAGGCAGCAAGACAGGACUAAAACAUUGGGUUUACCUAACUGACUAUCCUAACUGUCUGAAUUCCUCCCUUGGAAGAAUUUUAUUUCCUUUUUCUUCCUGCGCCAUCGAGCACCUUUACGUAUCUCAGCCAAGGAGAGCUUUCCAUUUAGGGCAGGGUGGGGUGUGGGGACCUACUCAGAACAGAGUCGGUUUAUCUGCUACUGGUUUUUUUUGGAUGUGCCUGAUGGUGGACAGCAGAUGUGACUUCAAAACUGUCCUUUGGGUUCUUCUGGGCUGGGAACGUGCACUGAGGUUUCAGACAGACCCAUUCCUUGGACCAGAGGUCAGUCCACAUCAGAGAACUGUAAGGGUGGGGCUGAGUUCUAGGAGUUUCGUUGGCUGUCGAUAGCCUGGUGGUGAUGGUGAGAGAAGGCUCCAUACUCUUUUCUGUUGAUGGUCUCGAGAAACAAUCCUUGGCAGGUGUUUCCUGAACAUUUGCUACAUGCCAGAUUCUGUUAAGGGCAUAGCCUGCCUUAUCUCGUUUAAUCCAAAUUAAAUAAUCCACAGAUGUAGGAGUCAGAUCUGAAGUUCUUACAAUGGGCUAUGAGACCGGUGGUGUGUGAACAUCCCCUCUUACUCAUCUAACUGUCCACCUCUCACUCUGCUUCAGCCACACCAGCCUCCUGCUCAUCCUCCAGCAAGUCAGCACCUGCCUCAGGACCUUUGCACUGACUACUACUUCUUCUUUGAAUGCUCUUCCUCUAGAAACCCACAUGACUCCCUCCCUCACUCCUUUCUGAUCUCUGCUCAAGUACUGCCACAUCAGAGAGGCCCUCUGGAUCUUCCUAUAUAAAGUUUCACUCUCUAAACUACUGGCUGGCAACAUCUCUAUCUCUGGUUUAUUUUACUCCAUGGUGGACAUCCCAGCCCAAUGGACUUCGUAUAGGUCAGUCACUCAUUUUGUUUAUUGUGUGUUUCCCUCCCUGCCACAUGAGAAAAGGAAGCUUUAACUGCUCUGUUUACCUCUGGAUUCCCAGUCUUGGCACACAGUAGGUGCUCAGUGAUAUUUGCAGAAUGAAUGUACAAGGUAGGUGCCCUUUUAAAGACGAGGUUAUUGCAUUACGGGGUCUAGAGACGUGAAGGGACUCGUCUGAAAUCACACCCAGACAAGUGGUACAGUGGACUUGGACAUGGACUUGCUGGUACCCACCCAGGUCUCUCUCCCAGCUCUGUGGGCUCGUCCCCCCACCCCGCCCCCUCAUGCUUUCCUACUGAGAGCUCAACCUGUGGCUUUCAGUGCUAUCCCUGGUUCUGGAGUGGCUCUCCCAGAGAUGAGCCAGAAGUGCCUAGAAGCCUCCCACCUCCUUACCUGUCAUGACAGACGAGUGCAGAAGUUCAGAUAGAACAGACUCUGAGACGCGAUUCACACUGCAGGGCUCCCCAUAGGAUGCAGGCUCCUCUUUAAUAAAUCCUUGCAUCCAAGUUCUUGGCUUGGGGUCUGCCUCUGGGAGAACCCAUCCCACGGAAUCACUGAAUCCCCAGAGCCCAGCGAGUGCUGGUAUGCAGUAGGUGCUUCAUAAGUGCUGGGCAAAGCCAG